GAUGAACGCUAGCGGCAGGCCUAACACAUGCAAGUCGAGGGGUAGUUACUUUCGGGUAAUGAGACCGGCGCACGGGUGCGUAACGCGUAUGCAAUCUACCUUUUACAGGGGAAUAGCCCAGAGAAAAUUUUGGAUUAAUGCCCCAUAGUAUGUAUGAAUCGCAUGGUUUAUAUAUUAAAGUUCCAACGGUAAAAGAUGAGCAUGCGUCCCAUUAGUUAGUUGGUAAGGUAACGGCUUACCAAGACUAUGAUGGGUAGGGGUCCUGAGAGGGAGAUCCCCCACACUGGUACUGAGACACGGACCAGACUCCUACGGGAGGCAGCAGUGAGGAAUAUUGGACAAUGGGCGCAAGCCUGAUCCAGCCAUGCCGCGUGCAGGAAGAAGCAUCUAUGGUGUGUAAACUGCUUUUGUACAGGAAGAAACACUCCCUCGUGAGGGAGCUUGACGGUACUGUAAGAAUAAGGAUCGGCUAACUCCGUG
rnacentral:rRNA from 1 species